rnacentral:ncRNA from 1 species
CGAACCCGCGCGGGAGAGCUGGCGUCGUCGACGACGACCAGCGCCGAAGGGGCAACCUCCCCGGAACCUCUCAGGCACCAGGACCGCACGGCGCAG